AGUGAACGCUGGCGGUAGGCCUAACACAUGCAAGUCGAACGGCAGCACAGUAAGAGCUUGCUCUUACGGGUGGCGAGUGGCGGACGGGUGAGGAAUACAUCGGAAUCUACUUUUUCGUGGGGGAUAACGUAGGGAAACUUACGCUAAUACCGCAUACGACCUACGGGUGAAAGCAGGGGAUCUUCGGACCUUGCGCGAUUGAAUGAGCCGAUGUCGGAUUAGCUAGUUGGCGGGGUAAAGGCCAACCAAGGCGACGAUCCGUAGCUGGUCUGAGAGGAUGAUCAGCCACACUGGAACUGAGACACGGUCCAGACUCCUACGGGAGGCAGCAGUGGGGAAUAUUAGACAAUAGGCGCAAGCCUGAUCCAGUGAUACCGCGUGUGUGAAGAAGGCCUUCGGGUUGUAAAGCCCUUUUGUUGGGAAAGAAAAGCAUCAGGUUAAUACCCCGCUGUUCUGACGGUACCCAAAGAAUAAGCACCGGCUAACUUCGUG
rnacentral:rRNA from 1 species